rnacentral:rRNA from 1 species
GACGAAGGGGCAAGCGUUGUUCGGAAUUACUGGGCGUAAAGCGCGCGCAGGCGGCCUUUUAAGUCUGCUGGUGAAAUGCCGGGGCUCAACCCCGUGCCCGCCACAGAUACUGGGAGGCUGGAGACGAGUAGAGGCAAGCGGAAUUCCGGGUGUAGCGGUGGAAUGCGUAGAGAUCCGGAAGAACACCGGAGGCGAAGGCGGCUUGCUGGGCUCGGUCUGACGCUGAGGCGCGAAGCGUGGGGAGCGAACAGG